UUGUUGAUUUUUUUUUUUUUUUUUUUUUUUUUUGACAAACUGUUGUAUCCUUCAAAAUUCGUGAGGAUCAAUUCCACAAUUUCUUGAAAACCUUGGCCAAUCCAUGCCAGGAAGAGUCUGAGGAGAAAAGAGUUGCGUGGAAUGACUUGAAAGUUAUACUGUAGUAAAAUGAUUAAAGUACUUAUUAUACUCCUUGGAGUGAAAAUGCCGGAAUUCUGUGCAGAAUAAAAAUUCCCUAAGGUCAGAGCUACAUGCUACAAAAGGAGUGCUAACUCACUGGAUUUGUCAUAUUUUUUAUGUAUCAAUUUUGUUCCCUGUUCCAUGUCUUAUGUAAAUGAUGUGGGUAUCCUUUGAAAUCCGUGUGUAUCAUCUGUCAAGCUGAAAGUCACAUACAUUUAAAUGAUAUAUUAAGUACUGCUGUCAGCUGCUGCAGGUACAGAACCGAAUAUGUAAGAAACAGCCAACAGAUUCAGGAGGAAAUAGACUUCGUGAAGAAACACAGCCCUCUGCUGGAAGAAAAGCUGAAUCCAAAGACACAGCUGUGGAGGAUGUAUGGAAAGACAUCUGUGUUUCAGAUUAUGGAGAUGUCAGAAGCUGUCAAAAAGGGUUUACAAGAUUCAGUUAUUUUUUCAUGGAAGUGGAGGAGUUCAAAGUGGAGGAGUUCAAAAGCUGGGCUUCAUGCUUGUGCUAUUCACAGCCUGUGACACCUGGCAAGGAAUGAGUUAAAGCAUUCUGAAUUUAUUUGGACCGAAUACUGUAUGAAGUUAAAAGAAACAGAAGAGAAGAUUAUAAAGGAUGAAAAACACCUUGAGGAGUUAUUGAAGCAAAAAGCAGAAAUCCAGGAAGAUGUAAAAUGUUGGAACAGCAAAGUGAGUCUUGAAUAUUUAUAAACAAGCAAGUAAAUGAGUAUCUGUUAUUGGAAAGUACAUGAAUGCCUAAGUAUUUUGUAUGUUUAAGAGUUAAGAUCCUCUGUAAGAGUAAAAAUAUAAAUAUGGAUUUUAAAAUGAGAGGUGAUAGAUUCAGUAGAGACCUCUUGUUCAUUAUUUUGUUUUUGUAUUAUUUUUCUGCUUUAAUUAUUAAAAAUAUCAUAACCAUUUUACAAUUCUGUAAGUAACCUGCAUAUUUUUCAUUUCUGGGCACAUAUCUGCCUAGUAUUUCUUAUCUUCUUAAAUCAUCAGGAAUAAUGUGUGCAGGUAGUGGGACAGCAUAAUUGUCCUCUGAAGUUAGCAGAUUUUUUUAAGCUGAGAUGGCAUAUGAUAAACUUUUACAUCAUGCAUAAUGGUGAUCUAUUUUAUUUACAUGCUUUCACUUUUUCUACCAUGUUUGCUAUGAUUAAUUUUAAAAUCUUGCACUUUGUAACCUAAAAUCUGAACUGGAGUUUCUCCCAGAGCCUGACUGUGAGUUUUCAGUUAAUUGACAGCUCCUGUUGAACCAGUAGAAAAUGCGUAGAAAAUGUAGAUGCUCACAAAAGAAUCUGGUUGGUUUUUUUUUACAUGUAUGUGUGUGUAUAUAUAUGUGUGUAUAUAUACACAAGUGCGAAUAAAUAUGAAAUUCAUUCUCUUGUACAUGCUCAGUACGAUUGUGGGUUGCCCAUCUUGAUAAAUAGGUCCUGCUAAGGAUGAAGUGGAAUCCAGAAUAUACAAUAUAGAGGAUUUCUGAGAAGCUGAAUGUACCAAGCAUGCCCAGAAUUUAACAUUAAAAAAAAAAACAAAAAAAAAAAACAACCCCAAAGCACCCUCCCUGAAAAAGCAAAGAUAUAGUCAUAUUACAACCAUGAAUGUGCAUGUUCUUGCCUUUUUUUUUUUUUAGCCGUGUAUUACAUUUUUUUUUCUAUUAGUGGUGCUAGCAAUUGCUACCAACAGAUAUUGAGAACACAGCUAUAUUCAAAUAGAGCUAAUACUUAUUAAUAAGCUUUUUUUAAAAUUUUAAUUUUUAUUUCUGCAUAUAUUUCCAUCUGGGAUUGAUGACCAGGUAUACUUCAGCAGGUGCCACCUGAUUAUUAAGACCAAGACAAUACAAAGACAGACAUGCACAACAGAGAUAAGGUGCAGCAUGGAACUGCUCCAUUAGGUGACCACAUAAAGGUGAACCAAAUUAAGUUUAGCAAAAAGCUGAUUUGUUAUUGCAAAUUUCCUUCAAAAACAUGGCUAAAUCAACAAACUGAGUAUGUCUUUAUAAAUAACAGUGGAUAUUCACAAAGCUCAAAGUUAUUAUUCUGAUCAACAUAGAAAUAUUUUGGAGGUAAUUAAAUUAUUUUGGAAAUUAGGAAAAUAUUGGGAUUGUUUUUAUUUUCUUCACUGGGGUUUGAAUUGACCCAAAUUAGAACAUGACAAUUAUCACAUGCACCAAUAAGUCUGAAGACAGAAUAAGUGAUAUGAACUAAUGUUUUUCAGCAUUGUUUUUCUUAGCUCUUUUUUCUUGUGUUAAUUCAUGCUGAUUUUAAAUGUUAUAUGUGAUCUGUUAGGAGUUUUACAACUUUUGACACUGUAAGGACAACUCUGAGUUUUCUUUUUAUCAUGCUACUCGGAUUUACAUUACAAAAGGUAUCUGUAUGGAUUAAAACUAUUUUCUGUGUCUACAUAGGCUUUGUUUCUCAAAGAUUAGAAGAAACCCUUCUAAUAAAAUUUCAUACUUAACUAUUA